CCUACGGGAGGCAGCAGUGGGGAAUAUUGCACAAUGGGCGCAAGCCUGAUGCAGCGACGCCGCGUGAGGGAUGAAGGCCUUCGGGUUAUAAACCUCUUUCAGUAGGGAAGAAGCGUAAGUGACGGUACCUGCAGAAGAAGCGCCGGCUAACUACGUGCCAGCAGCCGCGGUAAUACGUAGGGCGCAAGCGUUAUCCGGAAUUAUUGGGCGUAAAGAGCUCGUAGGCGGUUUGUCGCGUCUGCCGUGAAAGUCCGGGGCUUAACUCCGGAUCUGCGGUGGGUACGGGCAGACUUGAGUGACGUAGGGGAGACUGGAAUUCCUGGUGUAGCGGUGAAAUGCGCAGAUAUCAGGAGGAACACCGAUGGCGAAGGCAGGUCUCUGGGCAUUAACUGACGCUGAGGAGCGAAAGCAUGGGGAGCGAACAGGAUUAGAUACCCUGGUAGUCCAUGCCGUAAACGUUGGGCACUAGGUGUGGGGGACAUUCCACGUUUUCCGCGCCGUAGCUAACGCAUUAAGUGCCCCGCCUGGGGAGUACGGCCGCAAGGCUAAAACUCAAAUGAAUUGACGGGG
rnacentral:rRNA from 1 species